rnacentral:misc_RNA from 1 species
UAUUUUGUUGUGCAAUCAUUCAUUCUUAUAGUACAACUGUAAUAAAAAGUCAUGGAAGAGCAAUUUCCAAAAGCUGUAUUUUAAAAAUUUACGGUUUUCUGCUACGCCUC